rnacentral:misc_RNA from 1 species
GCCGCUUCUCAUUUUCUGGCCUCUUAAACCCUGAAAAUUUGUCUUCAUCAGAUAUCAAUGGCUUUCUACAACAAACUUGGUGGUCUUUUGAGGCAGAGCAUCUCAACAAGUGGCAAUACAUUAAACGCACAAUCAUCAGCACCUUCAAUGCUUAAUGCCAUCCGUUGCAUGUCAACAAAGCUUUUUGUUGGAGGUCUUUCAUUUGGAACUGACGAUCUGUCUCUGAGGGAAGCCUUCACCAGUUUUGGUGAUGUCGUCGAGGCUAAGGUCAUCAUGGAUAGAGAUUCUGGGAAAUCAAAGGGAUUUGGAUUCGUGAACUUCACAGACGGCCAAUCUGCCCAAGAUGCUAUGUCAGCAAUGGAUGGACAGGAUCUCAACGGGAGGAACAUCCGCGUCUCUCUAGCCCAAGAGAGAGCUCCACGCAGCGGUGGUUUUCGUUCUGGUGGUGGCGGAUAUGGUGGUGGUGGAUUUGGCGGUGGCUAUGGUGGAUCUAGACAAAAUGAUGCAUACUAAGUAAAACUUGUAAUCUUUGCUCACUUGUCUAUACAAGCAUGGCAAAUUUCGUAGGUAGGAGAUAGAACGUAACGCGAUUUUGUGUUGAACGGAUUUUCCUUAGCUUUUAAUGUAUGGUUCUAUAUUAAGGUUUUAUCAUAUGAUCACUUGACUUG